CUGCCCUGCACUUCGGGACAAGCCCUGGAAACGGGGUCUAAUACCGGAUACUACUACUGGCCGCAUGGUCUGGUGGUGGAAAGCUCCGGCGGUGCAGGAUGAACCCGCGGCCUAUCAGCUUGUUGGUGAGGUAGUGGCUCACCAAGGCGACGACGGGUAGCCGGCCUGAGAGGGCGACCGGCCACACUGGGACUGAGACACGGCCCAGACUCCUACGGGAGGCAGCAGUGGGGAAUAUUGCACAAUGGGCGAAAGCCUGAUGCAGCGACGCCGCGUGAGGGAUGACGGCCUUCGGGUUGUAAACCUCUUUCAGCAGGGAAGAAGCGUGAGUGACGGUACCUGCAGAAGAAGCGCCGGCUAACUACGUG
rnacentral:rRNA from 1 species